ACUUAAUGGUGAGGGCAUUUACGCGAGAGUUCCCUAAAGAGCUCCCAUGUCUCGAAAAAAUUUUUCUCGUCCAAUUGGGAGAAACUGGUGAUUGCCUUUCUCAGCU